rnacentral:rRNA from 1 species
UACGGAGGAUGCAAGCGUUAUCCGGAUUUAUUGGGUUUAAAGGGUGCGCAGGUUGUUUGAUAAGUCAGUGGUGAAAGUCUGUCGCUUAACGGUAGGAUUGCCAUUGAUACUGUUGGACUUGAAUAUGGAUGAGGUAGGCGGAAUGUGUAGUGUAGCGGUGAAAUGCAUAGAUAUUACACAGAACACCAAUUGCGAAGGCAGCUUACUAAUCCAUCAUUGACGCUGAGGCACGAAAGCGUGGGGAGUCAAACA